AAGUGUACAGGUACCCUGCCUUGUAACCUCGAUCCCACCUAAAAACUAAAAGGGCAAAACCCUCGCAGUGGAAUCGUCUUCGGAGCCGUUUCCAUGGCUACCAAGAAGCGCAAGGUCGACCAAGAGGGCGAGCUCCUCUCCGCCGCCUCGGAUCCCCUUCCGCCGCCCGUCCUCUACACCCCUGCUCUCGCCUCCGACGAGGAGGACGCCGACGGCGAUGAUGACGAAGUGGGUAAUUUUCUGGAGACGUUCUCCCGUGACCAGCUCGUUACCCUCCUCAGCUUCGCUGCGGAAUCCGAUGGCGCUACCCUGGCCGAGAUCCGCCGCACCGCUGACCUAGAUCCCUCGCACCGCAAGCUCUUUGUCCACGGGCUCGACUGGGAAACCACCGCCGAGGGCCUUCGCUCCGCGUUUGCCCGCUACGGAGACAUUGAUGACUGCCGCGUCAUCUUUGACAAGGUCAGUGGCCGAUCCAAGGGAUAUGGUUUUGUUCUAUUCUGUCACCGGAGCUCCGCACGCCGCGCCCUCCGCCGCCCGCAGAAGCUAAUUGACAGCCGCAUGGCCUCCUGCCAACUCGCAUCUUCUGGCCCCGCGCCCAAUCCCCAAAAUUCUGCCCAGAACCACUCGAACUUUAACACUGGCCCUAGUGUUGCCACUUAUCAGGAUAACGUCGCGAGGAAGAUCUAUGUAGGAAACGUUAAUUGUGACGUCGAUGGUGGCCGUCUCCUUGCCUUUUUCUCCCAGUAUGGUGAGAUCGAGGAGGGCCCUAUUGGCUUUGAUCGGCAUACAGGGAAGCCCAAAGGCUACGCUUUAUUUGUCUAUAGGACGGUGGAUGGCGCCAUGAGAGCCCUCGAGGAGCCAAAUAAGAAUUUUGAGGGAAUAGUUCUUCAAUGUGAGAGAGGUAAUGACAGAAGUAAGGGGACACAAUAUCAUAAUGCAGCAGCUCCACUCAAUGUAGCACCGAGUACAGGAACUCUGAGUGGUCCUGGUUAUACUAUGCCUGUAGCAGACACUGGGUUAGCACAACAAGCUGCAAUGAUGGGGCAGGGUCUUCUUGGCAUGGGCGGGGCACAAGCGUUUGGGCAGGCUAUGCAAUCAAAUGCUGCAAUGCUUGCUCUACUGACAGCUGCUGGGCAGAAUCCAGCAGCUUUUGGAAUCACACCUAAUGUGCUUAGUUCUUUGAACCCUGCUUUUGCAACUGCUUUUGGUGCAACAGGGAGCCAGCAGACGGCACCCACUUUACCUCAGAUGGCACAGGUGCCAAACUAUGGGGUCGUAAAUUCUGGGUAUCAGGGAUCUGCAGGUUUUCAGGGAUCUGCAGGCUUUCAGGGUUCACCAGGGUUUCAAGGGCCUCCAGGGUUUCAGGGUCCUCCAGGCUAUCAGAGCAAUCAGUCUGUCGCUCAACAAGCACCCGGAGGUGGCAGCUCUUACCCAACAGGGGCAACUCCAAUGUCAAGGCGAUCGACUGGAUCAAUGGGCGGAUAUGGACAAUUUUAGAAUUUGAUGUCUUGGGCUCUGACAAUAAUGGAGUGCUAACAGAGGUGUCAUGCCGCAGCUGCAGCUGCAAACUCAUGUAUUUUCAGAUGUGAUGUUUACUUGACUUGUGAAUGAUUUAUCUUGCUUUUUUAAGCACAUAGGUUAUGGUUAGUGUCUUUCUAACACGUCUUUAAUUUCUCUCAUUUGAUCCUUAUUACAGCAUUGACUAGAACCUUCUAGCCUCUUCUUGGUCCUAUUUCUGAAAAAUCAUAGGUUCAACAGUGAGACAUGUUUGUUCUGACCUUUUGACCAUGUACAGUAUUGAAGAGACUGCUGUGAUGCUGAACAUUCUUCUUCUACAUUGGAGCAAAUAAGAUUCAGACAAAGAAAAGAAAUAGAUUAGAUAUUGGAAGAUUGAACAAUUUAGUCUGUUCAAUUCAAUGCCAAGAUCAUAAACAAAAAGAGAAGACAAAAAGAAAAAGGAGUUGAUGUGUUACUUGCUAGUGAAGCAACUAUGACACAAGGAUGGAUUGUUGAUGGUGGAGAUGAAGAUGUUGAGACAAAUAUUGAAGAUAAAAAGAGAAUUUCACGAAGAAAAAUUUGUAUUGGAUGAAGAAGAAAAGGAAAAUGUCAUGAAUUUUGAGUUUGAAUCCGAUAAAGGAAGUGUUGGAGAAAUAUGAAGAUGAACUAGAAGAAGAAUUAGGGAUAUAGGAUUAUGAGUUAUUUUGUGUCCUUUUGCUAUUUUUAAUUUUCAUUGUAUGUUGAAGUUGAACAAAUUAAUAUUUUGAAUUUUGAUUAAUAUUUUGCUCCUUGCCAGUUUGUGUAUUUUUGCUAUUUCAGAAUAUUUUCAUUGUAUGUGGAAAUCAAGUUAUGCAUAUUUUUUUCUUAGAGAAGCCACUAUAAAUCGAUUGGCAGGAGAAAAAAAAAAAUCCGCCUAGGGUAACCACUCGUCUAUUGCCUAGCACUUUUUAGAACAUUGAUAAAAACUGACAAUUGCCCCUCCGGACAAUAAGAGUAACUGAGUAAUUCUCGUGAAUUUAUUGAACCACUAUGGUUAUGCGAAGAAAAUAAUCAACUUAAGAUCAUUUCCAACAGUAGGAGUUUAGAAAAUCAUCCAAAAGAUAUAAUUAGUGGUGUCCCAAUCUCAAAACAGUUGGUACAAACUUAAAACCUUGUCAAAGGUGAUUCAGUACAACAUCAGUUCCAGUUCGACAUCAAUUCCAACGAACUGAAAGCUACGCCAAGCAAUCCUUCCGCCCUUAAAACUGUAGUGAGGCUGACGGAUCAAGCUGUCAGUCUAAUUAUCUUGUGGACUUGUGGUGAGUGUCACUUAUUGUUUAUAAUGUACACCUGUUCAUGAUGGGAUUUGCCUUUUCUUGGUUAUGUAUCAUCUUGACAAAAAUGUUUAUUACAUCAGUUCAAUGUUUGGUUUUGGAUUGAAAUAAACUUUGUAUAUUUAUUUAAUGGUUGUCCUUCAGUGAAGGGGGUCUGACGGUUUACUUUCCUAUUGUGUGUGUCUUACCAUUUGAAUUCUUUAUUUUAAAGCCAUAUGUUUGCUGUAAGCAGUCAUUCGAUCAUCAGCAAUGAUAAUUUGAAUUUUUUAGGUUGUCAUUUAAUUUUUCUCUCAAUCAACAAGUUGAAUCAGUAGGGUUAAAUGUGUGAAGAUUAGAGGAUUCAUGACAUUGACUACCCUCAUAAUUUCUUAUUUUGCAAUCCUUUAGUAUUUUUGGUUGUAGUAAUUGAAGUUUUGUCAAUUUUUAUCGAGAAAAAUACUAGAAGCCUUUCGAUAUAUUCUCUUUUUCAAUAGAAAUUCCAGUCUUUUUAAAUACUACUGAUUUGCACAGACAAUCAUGAGAUUAUUAACAAAUGCACCAUUACUUUUCUCAGUUAGAAUAACUAAAUGUAGAGAUCCUGAAUUAUGGCUGGUAAAACAUUAUGCGCCUGUCGCUUCAUUUUGCUUUGAAAUUUCUCUCUUUGAUUGAUUUUCUAAAUUCUGAAGUUGCAAAUGAUCGUUAAUUGAACUCUAUGGUUUGUGUUUGAAAAUUCUCUAUCGGAAAGAUCCAAAAUUGCUGCUCAAUUGUAAGAGUAACAAAUGGUACCCACCAACUCAUGUCUGAAACAUGUUUGAGUUGUUUUCUGAACAUCUAUGUUCGAAUAGCAUAGUCUGUGUUCUUGGAAAAUAGUGUCGAAGGACGAUUUGGUUUUUUUCAAAAACAUGCUAUUCAGUUAUUUCUGCACAAUGUUUACUAUGGAUCCUUGCAAUAAUGUAGUGUGACCUGCUUCUGGAGCAAUGGUACAGCAGGUAGGCACUUCGGUUAACCAAGCAUCUAUAGGUCGAAUUUCAAUUGCGGCACACUAGGAAUUUUCAUUCAUGAUAACUCUAAGAACGUUAGUUGUAUGGAUGAGCUUCCAUGAGCGUUUCUCGAUUUAUUUUGGUGAUCGAUAGAAAAUUUUUUUGUGAUGGGUCGGUCACUUUAAGGAUUAUUUGGUUCGGAAAGAUAGAUGCUUUGAUUAUAAAACAAAUAGUACAGUGCAACCAACAUCAAGAUCUCAUGUAUCAUGUUGAAAGAGGGCACUUUUCAAAUCAUGAUGUAUUACUACUUGAUUCUGUUUGAAAAUUGGACAAGUGGUUUAGAUGUUGACUGGUGGAUUAUAAUGCAGCACCAAACCAGUCGUUGGAGAAAUUGAUUGUUACUCCGUUGGGCCUCUCACUCAGGCCCCUCGUUCAGUGUGAGAGCCCAUUGUUGACACAGCGGGGUCGUGCACUAGAGUACUUCCUGUUGUUGCUGCUUGUUGCUACAUCAGUUUCUGUGUUCGGGCGUAGAUCAACAUUUCUUACUCGUGUUAAGAUAAUAGUGGUGAGUUGUUCAAGUUCUUCUAUCCUUAUAUUUCAGAUGAAGAAUCUCAUAGACGGCGCCUCUCCUUGUAAAUCGACACCAUCACCAUUUUCUCUGAAGCUUUGUUAACUCCUUGCAGUUUGUGAUGGCGGAGUCAGGUUUUUGUUUAAUUUUUUAUUACUAACCUUUAUGUUUCUUUUGAGGUAUCGACUCAUUUACUGAGGCGAAGUUGAUUCUAUUGGGGAGACAACAAAGGGCAACGAAGUUGAUGCGGCAAGUUGCUUCAUCUCUUGGCUUCUUAGAACAAUGUUAGGAUGUCAAAUACUUAUGGUACCAGCUAAAUGAGAUAAGAGAUCUUUAGCAUUACUUGGUUUUUUUUUUUGAUAAUUUAAGUAUCUAAGGUUGAUUAUUCUUAAAA